rnacentral:rRNA from 1 species
UGGGGAAUAUUGCACAAUGGGCGAAAGCCUGAUGCAGCGACGCCGCGUGCGGGAUGAAGGCCUUCGGGUUGUAAACCGCUUUUAAUUGGGAGCAAGCGAGAGUGAGUGUACCUUUUGAAUAAGCACCGGCUAACUACGUGCCAGCAGCCGCGGUAAUACGUAGGGUGCAAGCGUUAUCCGGAAUUAUUGGGCGUAAAGAGCUCGUAGGCGGUUUGUCACGCCUGGUGUGAAAGUCCAUCGCUUAACGGUGGAUCUGCGCCGGGUACGGGCAGGCUAGAGUGCAGUAGGGGAGAUUGGAAUUCCCGGUGUAACGGUGGAAUGUGUAGAUAUCGGGAAGAACACCAAUGGCGAAGGCAGAUCUCUGGGCUGUUACUGACGCUGAGGAGCGAAAGCAUGGGGAGCGAACAGGAUUAGAUACCCUGGUAGUCCAUGCCGUAAACGGUGGAUGCUGGAUGUGGGACCCUUCCACGGGUUCCGUGUCGGAGCUAACGCGUUAAGCAUCCCGCCUGGGGAGUACGGCCGCAAGGCUAAAACUCUAAAGUGAAUUGAC